rnacentral:piRNA from 1 species
UUGGAUGAUGAUGAGGCCUGUGCAUAUAGU